ACGAACGCUGGCGGCGUGCCUAACACAUGCAAGUCGAGCGAGGAGAUCCUUCGGGAUGAUCCUAGCGGCGGACGGGUGAGUAACACGUGGGCAACCUGCCUCAUAGAGAGGAAUAGCCUUCCGAAAGGGAGAUUAAUACCUCAUAACAUUGCAGUUUCGCAUGGAACAGCAAUUAAAGGAGUAAUCCGCUAUGAGAUGGGCCCCGCGGCGCAUUAGCUAGUUGGUGAGGUAAUGGCUCACCAAGGCGACGAUGCGUAGCCGACCUGAGAGGGUGAUCGGCCACAUUGGGACUGAGACACGGCCCAGACUCCUACGGGAGGCAGCAGUGGGGAAUAUUGCACAAUGGGGGGAAACCCUGAUGCCAGCAACGCCGCGUGAGUGAUGACGGCCUUCGGGUUGUAAAGCUCUGUCUUCAGGGACGAUAAUGACGGUACCUGAGGAGGAAGCCACGGCUAACUACGUGCCAGCCGCCGC
rnacentral:rRNA from 1 species